rnacentral:rRNA from 1 species
GUGCCAGCCGCCGCGGUAAUACGGGGGGAGCGAGCGUUGUUCGGAUUCAUUGGGCGUAAAGGGCGCGUAGGCGGCCCGGUAAGUCUGACAUGAAAUGCACCGGUUCAACCGGGGCACUGUGUCCGAAACUGCCAGGCUUGAGGUCGAGGGAGGAAGGUGGAAUUCCUGGUGUAGCGGUGAAAUGCGUAGAUAUCAGGAGGAACACCCGUGGCGAAGGCGACCUUCUAUCUCGAUUCUGACGCUGAGGCGCGAAAGCUAGGGGAGCAAACGGGAUUAGAUACCCGCGUAGUCC